UGGAGGAAAGCAGGGGAUCGUAAGACCUUGCGCUUUUGGAGCGGCCGAUGUCUGAUUAGCUAGUUGGUGGGGUAAUGGCCUACCAAAGCUUCGAUCAGUAGCUGGUCUGAGAGGACGGCCAGCCACACUGGGACUGAGACACGGCCCAGACUCCUACGGGAGGCAGCAGUGGGGAAUUUUGGACAAUGGGCGCAAGCCUGAUCCAGCCAUGCCGCGUGAGUGAAGAAGGCCUUCGGGUUGUAAAGCUCUUUCGGCCGGGAAGAAAAGGCUGCGACUAAUAAUCGCAGUUCAUGACGGUACCGGAAGAAGAAGCACCGGCUAACUACGUGCCAGUAGCCGCGGUAAUACGUAGGGUGCGAGCGUUAAUCGGAAUUACUGGGCGUAAAGGGUGCGCAGGCGGUUUUGUAAGUCAGAUGUGA
rnacentral:rRNA from 1 species